rnacentral:rRNA from 1 species
GAUGAACGCUGGCGGCGUGCCUAACACAUGCAAGUCGAACGGUUAAACCGCCCUUCGGGGCGGACAUACAGUGGCGAACGGGUGAGUAACACGUGACCAACCUGCCCCGCACCCCGGGACAACCGCCGGAAACGGCGGCUAAUACCGGAUACUCUCCGAGGCGCGCAUGCGCCACGGAGGAAAGCUCCGACGGUGCGGGAUGGGGUCGCGGCCCAUUAGGUAGUAGGCGGGGCAACGGCCCACCUAGCCUGCGAUGGGUAGCCGGCCUGAGAGGGCGAUCGGCCACAUUGGGACUGAGAUACGGCCCAG